CAGUAGCCGCGGGAAUACGUAGGUGGCAAGCGUUGUCCGGAAUUAUUGGGCGUAAAGCGCGCGCAGGCGGCCUAUCCAGUCUGUCUUAAAAGUUCGGGGCUCAACCCCGUGAUGGGAUGGAAACUAGUAGGCUAGAGUAUCGGAGAGGAAAGCGGAAUUCCUAGUGUAGCGGUGAAAUGCGUAGAUAUUAGGAAGAACACCAGUGGCGAAGGCGACUUUCUGGACGAAAACUGACGCUGAGGCGCGAAAGCCAGGGGAGCGAACGGGAUUAGAUACCCCAGUAGUCCCUGUCUCUUAUACA
rnacentral:rRNA from 1 species